GGGAACUACUGUAAACAAUAUUUGACACUUGCUUCUGUGUGGGUCAAAUAUAAAAACCUUUGAUGCAACUCAGGGCCUAUUACAUUCUCUAGUUUUUCUAUUUCAAUGGCCCGUUGGUUUACCUAAUAACCCUCUCACUCUCGUAUAAUUUAGAAGUUUCAUAGAUUGUAUCUACCCAAUUGUUUAUUCGAAGAUAUUUUCUGUCUCUUUGUUUCUUUGUGUAUUUAUUGGUCAAAUCCUCUUUACAUGAUCCAUCAAUAGAUUUUUUAUUAUGUACUUGCUGUAUUUGUAUUUGCAACAUUCAUUUGAGACUCCCCACUGAACAUGUAUUCCAUAUGCUUGCAGAUUGAAAGAUAGCAUAAACAAAAAGCAUUUCCGGGUUAUCUUUGAGGGUUCUGGCAGCUGCACAUGUUUCUCUCUUCUGAAGUUAAUCGUGUUUUUUUUUUUCUCUCUUAAUGGAUCUUGUACCCAUUUUCUCUCUUAAUGGUGUCUGUACCCAUGAUAAGAUCAACAUUGAUUUCACAUGUGAAAUUCUCUUACACGCUCAUGCUUAGCAACUCUUCAUGAGCCACUUAGUACAGUCUACAUGUGAUUUCAUGCUUUAAACUUCUGAUGCCAUAUCUACUUCGGUUUGUUAUGUGAUGCUUUUGUUCCCUAUAUAUAUCUGCUUUAUAUUUUUUUGAAAUGUUAUAAUCUGCUUUAUAUUUUUAAAAUCAAAGAUGCUUAAUUUGCUGAAAUCCAAAUAAUGUUGCCAUUUGCUAACUUUUGGGCUUUUUUCCUAUUUUCCAUGCC